UUUUUCUAGGGCUCCCUUCGUAUUCAAACACCCUUGAGUAGAAGUAUGGAAGAUAAUCGUAUGUUUGAGUAUGAGCAGUUAGUAAUGCUUUGACACAAUGCUGGGCCGAUCGACGAGCAUGAUCCACAUGUUCUACCCGAGCUACACGAUCAUACACCUUUAAUGGGAAUGCUGCCACAUCUCCAACUGCAAAGAUUCCUGGAAUUUUUGUUCUGAACAGGCCAUCAACCUGUAUACCGCCAACAGUGCUAUUCAAUCCCACUUGCUCAAACGGACCGACAGCAGGCUUUGCACCAAUGCCUAUUACUACCGUGUCUGCUUCGAUGGAAGAUCCAUCUGCAAGUCUAACAGAAGUGACCCGACCAUUUGCACCAGCUUCCAAAUUUUUUAUGGAGGCCCCCUUUAUGAAUUUG
rnacentral:misc_RNA from 1 species